rnacentral:rRNA from 1 species
CAAAAACAUUGCCAAUAGUACAAAAUUCCUGGUACCUUCUGCUCAACGUUAACUACAAAUUGCCGCAGUAUAUCAACUGUGCUAAGGUAGCAUAAUAACUUGUCUAUUAAUUGUAGACUAGAAUGAAUGAAUAAAUGAGGUUUUCCCUGUUUCAUUUAAUAAUAUAAAACUUUAUAUAGAAGUGAAGAAGCCUCUAUAGUCUCGUAAGACAAGAAGACCCUAAGAACUUAAAUUACAAGAAAUAAAACAACUCUAAAAAAUUUGGUUGGGGCGAUCUAGAUUAUAUAAAUCAAUUUUACACUACUCAAGAUUAAUAGCUCAAAUAUUGAUCCACAGUUUGUGAAUAAUAACAUAAGCUACCCUAGGGAUAACAGACUAAUUUUCUUCCAAAGUACAAAUUAAAAAGAAAGAUUUGCACCUCGAUGUUGGCUUAUACAUACAUAUUUAGCCGCAAAAGCUAAAAAUAAUAGAUUUGGUCAAUCUUUAAAAUUCUACGUGAUCUGAGUUCAGACCGG